ensembl:lncRNA
AAAAGAGGAUGCAUUGGCAAGCAUUUUAUAAAGCCAGAAGAAGACCGUCACCUGCUUCACUUCAGAUUCCAAAGGGCCUUCUCCCUGACUUUCCUGCUCUGUGCAGUCCAUGGGGUGCACGCGAGCACUCCACCUAGAAAGACAGAAGGCACGUUCAGUUGCGCACGCUGCCUAUUGCACUCCUAACGGCCCUUUCUUGGCCACCCGUUCCAGACUGACAGCAAGCUGGGAGAGAGCAGCACACACUUGCUAGUACACACUUAAAUGCUGUUCUCCUGUAUGCUACGGUUUAUCAGCAAGCUCUUCCUCAAAGCAAGACUGCUAUGAAAGACACAGCACGCUUUACUCCCAGGGGUGCUGACAGCCCACAGUAGCCCCAGGCAGCCUCUCUUCCUGCUUCCAGCUGAUACUGGCCAAUGGAGGCAGGAGAUGGAGGGGGUGACCGGAGGGGAAGAAAUGAUGUCUAGAACGGGUGUCCAGUCAUUCUGGGAGGUAUAUGUGUGCAGGAUGGGCUAUGUGCAGGGAGGCCAAAUUUGCCUGUGGGCUGAGCUGCCAUCAUCAGGACACGUGCUGAUUUUGCCAGGCUUUUAAGCACACCUAAGCGCCCUCGAGAACAGAAACCAGCAGGCACAGACCUUCUCCGUGUCUUUCUCAAUGUCCGGAAAAACUUCCGGAUCUUCUCCAUGAUCCGUCAAGACUGGGCACUACUACCAGCACCACCAACACCACCAGUGCCAACACUGCCAGUACCUGCACCAGCACCAGCACCAGCACCAGCACCUGCACUAGCACCUGCACCAGCAGACACUGUGCUUGUGGGGGCUGUGCUUGUGGGGCCCCAGGUCUGCUGAGCGCUUUAUGACAUCACAGAGGGCUCUGUGACUCUUGGUGACGUGAACUGCCAGUUGCCAGGGCUAGCAGUGCCAGUGUUCCCUUUGUAAGGCCCUUGGGGCAGAGGGAGGGGCACAUGUGUUCAUACCAUGUAUGCAUUUAACAGGGCAGUGUGGCCAGAGGAAGCAACCCCUCGCGUACCUCCAGGAGUACGGGAUGCCCAAGGUUGCUGCUCCAAAUCUCUUGUUCUGCUGUCACGCAGAGCCCCUCCAUUCCCUGCGGUGUGUCUUCAUGCCUUCUCUACCACCCUGGCUGCGAGCGCCGUGUUGCCCUGAUCCCCUUAGUUCACAUGCACAUCCCCUUCAGUCCUUUCCGCAGCAUUCCAGCGUCCUCCCUUUCCCCUUUAGGGAUGGAUGUCUGGAGUCCCUUAAGCAUCUCUUCCAGGCAUGCUUACGUCCUUUCUGCUCCCUUCCAGAGCUGCUGGCAUAGCCUCUGCUCCCUCCCGGCAUGCUCUCAUGCCUUCCACUUCCCAUGGCCAAGCUCCUCUCUCUCCUCGUCACACGCUCUCCCCUCUGCCUUUCCGUAGCCCUGUGCUCACCUUAAAAAUGAGCUGGUGGACUGUGGAAUGAGGCUGUAACCCCUGAAAACGGAUAGGGAUCCGGAGUGAAAAAGGGGACUUUGGAGCCUGCGGCGAAGCUUUGGGUUCCCUGGCUGUCCGGAUCUUGAACAAUUUCCUUAUAUUACGAGCAUAUACACCGAUUCGUUGGUGUGUUCGGAACAGCAUUUCCCCGUUAUACCCUGAAAACGUCGGUCCUAUUUGUAACAUAUUGUUUCCCUUUUGAGAAGAAAUAGACCAAGAAUAAACAUU